GGGGGUAUAGCUCAGCAGUAGAACAUUUGCAUUGCACUCAGAAGGCUCCAGGUUUGAACCCUGGCAUCUGCA
rnacentral:tRNA from 1 species